GCUGUCGGCGUGCUUAACACAUGCAAGUCGAACGGAAAGGCCCUGCUUUUGUGGGGUGCUCGAGUGGCGAACGGGUGAGUAACACGUGAGUAACCUGCCCUUGACUUUGGGAUAACUUCAGGAAACUGGGGCUAAUACCGGAUAGGAGCUCCUGCUGCAUGGUGGGGGUUGGAAAGUUUCGGCGGUUGGGGAUGGACUCGCGGCUUAUCAGCUUGUUGGUGGGGUAGUGGCUUACCAAGGCUUUGACGGGUAGCCGGCCUGAGAGGGUGACCGGCCACAUUGGGACUGAGAUACGGCCCAGACUCCUACGGGAGGCAGCAGUGGGGAAUAUUGCACAAUGGGCGGAAGCCUGAUGCAGCAACGCCGCGUGCGGGAUGACGGCCUUCGGGUUGUAAACCGCUUUCGCCUGUGACGAAGCGUGAGUGACGGUAAUGGGUAAAGAAGCACCGGCUAACUACGUGCCAGCAGCCGCGGUGAUACGUAGGGUGCGAGCGUUGUCCGGAUUUAUUGGGCGUAAAGGGCUCGUAGGUGGUUGAUCGCGUCGGAAGUGUAAUCUUGGGGCUUAACCCUGAGCGUGCUUUCGAUACGGGUUGACUUGAGGAAGGUAGGGGAGAAUGGAAUUCCUGGUGGAGCGGUGGAAUGCGCAGAUAUCAGGAGGAACACCAGUGGCGAAGGCGGUUCUCUGGGCCUUUCCUGACGCUGAGGAGCGAAAGCGUGGGGAGCGAACAGGCUUAGAUACCCUGGUAGUCCACGCUGUAAACGGUGGGUACUAGGUGUGGGGUCCAUUCCACGGGUUCCGUGCCGUAGCUAACGCUUUAAGUACCCCGCCUGGGGAGUACGGCCGCAAGGCUAAAACUCAAAGGAAUUGACGGGGCCCCGCACAAGCGGCGGAGCAUGCGGAUUAAUUCGAUGCAACGCGUAGAACCUUACCUGGGUUUGACAUGGAUCGGGAGUGCUCAGAGAUGGGUGUGCCUCUUUUGGGGUCGGUUCACAGGUGGUGCAUGGCUGUCGUCAGCUCGUGUCGUGAGAUGUUGGGUUAAGUCCCGCAACGAGCGCAACCCUUGUUCACUGUUGCCAGCACGUUAUGGUGGGGACUCAGUGGAGACCGCCGGGGUCAACUCGGAGGAAGGUGGGGAUGACGUCAAGUCAUCAUGCCCCUUAUGUCCAGGGCUUCACGCAUGCUACAAUGGCUGGUACAGAGAGUGGCGAGCCUGUGAGGGUGAGCGAAUCUCGGAAAGCCGGUCUCAGUUCGGAUUGGGGUCUGCAACUCGACCUCAUGAAGUCGGAGUCGCUAGUAAUCGCAGAUCAGCAACGCUGCGGUGAAUACGUUCCCGGGGCUUGUACACACCGCCCGUCAAGUCAUGAAAGUUGGUAACACCCGAAGCCGGUGGCCUAACCGUUGUGGGGGAGCCGUCGAAGGUGGGACUGGUGAUU
rnacentral:rRNA from 1 species